rnacentral:rRNA from 1 species
GGCGGCGUGCUUAACACAUGCAAGUCGAACGGAAAGGCCCCUUCGGGGGUACUCGAGUGGCGAACGGGUGAGUAACACGUGGGUGAUCUGCCCUGCACUUCGGGAUAAGCCUGGGAAACUGGGUCUAAUACCGGAUAGGACCACUUGGCGCAUGCCUUGUGGUGGAAAGCUUUUGCGGUGUGGGAUGGGCCCGCGGCCUAUCAGCUUGUUGGUGGGGUCACGGCCUACCAAGGCUCCGACGGGUAGCCGGCCUGAGAGGGUGUCCGGCCACACUGGGACUGAGAUACGGCCCAGACUCCUACGGGAGGCAGCAGUGGGGAAUAUUGCACAAUGGGCGCAAGCCUGAUGCAGCGACGCCGCGUGGGGGAUGACGGCCUUCGGGUUGUAAACCUCUUUCACCAUCGACGAAGGUCCGGGUUUUCUCGGAUUGACGGUAGGUGGAGAAGAAGCACCGGCCAACUACGUGCCAGCAGCCGCGGUAAUACGUAGGGUGCGAGCGUUGUCCGGAAUUACUGGGCGUAAAGAGCUCGUAGGUGGUUUGUCGCGUUGUUCGUGAAAACUCACGGCUUAACUGUGAGCGUGCGGGCGAUACGGGCAGACUGGAGUACUGCAGGGGAGACUGGAAUUCCUGGUGUAGCGGUGGAAUGCGCAGAUAUCAGGAGGAACACCGGUGGCGAAGGCGGGUCUCUGGGCAGUAACUGACGCUGAGGAGCGAAAGCGUGGGGAGCGAACAGGAUUAGAUACCCUGGUAGUCCACGCCGUAAACGGUGGGUACUAGGUGUGGGUUUCCUUCCUUGGGAUCCGUGCCGUAGCUAACGCAUUAAGUACCCCGCCUGGGGAGUACGGCCGCAAGGCUAAAACUCAAAGGAAUUGACGGGGGCCCGCACAAGCGGCGGAGCAUGUGGAUUAAUUCGAUGCAACGCGAAGAACCUUACCUGGGUUUGACAUGCACAGGACGCUGGUAGAGAUAUCAGUUCCCUUGUGGCCUGUGUGCAGGUGGUGCAUGGCUGUCGUCAGCUCGUGUCGUGAGAUGUUGGGUUAAGUCCCGCAACGAGCGCAACCCUUGUCUCAUGUUGCCAGCGGGUAAUGCCGGGGACUCGUGAGAGACUGCCGGGGUCAACUCGGAGGAAGGUGGGGAUGACGUCAAGUCAUCAUGCCCCUUAUGUCCAGGGCUUCACACAUGCUACAAUGGCCGGUACAAAGGGCUGCGAUGCCGCAAGGUUAAGCGAAUCCUUUAAAGCCGGUCUCAGUUCGGAUCGGGGUCUGCAACUCGACCCCGUGAAGUCGGAGUCGCUAGUAAUCGCAGAUCAGCAACGCUGCGGUGAAUACGUUCCCGGGCCUUGUACACACCGCCCGUCACGUCAUGAAAGUCGGUAACACCCGAAGCCAGUGGCCUAACCCUUUGGGAGGGAGCUGUCGAAGGUGGGAUCGGC